rnacentral:tRNA from 1 species
GAGGAUUUAGCUUAAGUUGGAAAGUGAUGGAUUUUUGAUCCGUAGAUAUUUUUGAUAGUCU